rnacentral:rRNA from 1 species
UUGACCUCAAAUCAGGUAGGACUACCCGCUGAACUUAAGCAUAUCAAUAAGCGGAGGAAAAGAAACUAACAAGGAUUCCCCUAGUAACUGCGAGUGAACCGGGAAAAGCUCAAAUUUUGAAUCUGGCGGUCUUUCGGCCGUCCGAGUUGUAAUCUAGAGAAGCGUC